rnacentral:rRNA from 1 species
AUUGAACGCUGGCGGCAUGCCUUACGCAUGCAAGUCGAACGGUAACAGGUCUUCGGAUGCUGACGAGUGGCGAACGGGUGAGUAAUACAUCGGAACGUGCCCGAGAGUGGGGGAUAACGAGGCGAAAGCUUUGCUAAUACCGCAUACGAUCCCAGGAUGAAAGCAGGGGACCGCAAGGCCUUGCGCUCACGGAGCGGCCGAUGGCAGAUUAGGUAGUUGGUGGGAUAAAAGCUUACCAAGCCGACGAUCUGUAGCUGGUCUGAGAGGACGACCAGCCACACUGGGACUGAGACACGGCCCAGACUCCUACGGGAGGCAGCAGUGGGGAAUUUUGGACAAUGGGCGCAAGCCUGAUCCAGCCAUGCCGCGUGCAGGAUGAAGGCCUUCGGGUUGUAAACUGCUUUCGUACGGAACGAAAAGACUCCUUCUAAUAAAGGGGGUCCAUGACGGUACCGUAAGAAUAAGCACCGGCUAACUACGUGCCAGCCGCCGCAGUAAGAC